rnacentral:misc_RNA from 1 species
CUUCGCGACGCCGACGCCCGCAUGAGACCCGACGGGCCGUACGGCCGCGGGCUCAAGACGGACGCCACGGUCGUUCGUGUCGAUGGACAAAUGCGUUGCUCGGGCCGACGGAGCCAAAAGACCCCACGCCCGCGCGUAACGUUCCGCAUCCGAGAGCACGGGCAAUGCGCCCCGUGGGCCGAGGCAGCCACGCAACUGGGCGAAGCGUGCCGGGAACACGAGGCUUGCCUGACGUCCACCCCACAACCCGCGAGGGCAUGGGGCGGAAAGGGACCAACGAAACCAUCGGAUUCCUUUCGAUAGGUAAGCAACACAGGAUACCGAAUGCACCCGCAGGGCCGUGACGGCACGUUGGGGAAGAUUGAAGAGGAUGGGGCGUCGACAGUUCGAUGCACGAGCACGGAGCCU